UCAAAUUCUUAUUCAAUCUUAACAGGACUUCAACUCCUUAAUUGAUUUAAAACAUAAAUUGAAGUAGUCACCUUAACGCGGUUUCCCUUCUUUAGUGACAGAAGCAACCUCUCAAUCCGCAUUAAUUAUGCAAUAUGAUAUGAUAAGUAGACAUUUAAACAGCACACACUACACCCUGUUUUUUUUUUCUCAAUUUCUCUAUUAAUUACAUCCCAUCAUAUAUGUCAGCGUCAUAUAAUACCAUAUCUAAUACUUCUCUUACUCACUCUUGUUGUUUACCCAAUUUUUUCCAUUCAAAAGGAACCCAUGCACGUUACUCAAAAAAAAAAAUAAAAAAAUUAAACAUGAUGUUCAGGAUUUGGACUUCCUCAUUUCAUAGAUUAUCCAGCCGAAACUCCAAGGCUAGCUAGCUAGCUACUAGGCCAUAUUGUUAGUUAUUUAUACAAAUAGAGAAAAAGUCCAUCCACCCCAUAUAUACUUAACUCACCUCAUUAUAUAAUACUCUUAUGCUUCCCUUAAAUUGCCUCCAUGCAUCUCCGGUACCUACCUUUCUUAUCCUCACAUAAAUGAAGUUUCUUUUGUUUCUUCAGUGCUUGUUCUUCCUAGUGAUGAUGCAUCUAUCCCAUCCUUGCAUUGCUUCCAGGACCAGCAGAGGACUGUUAGCUACAGAUGCUGGUUUUUCUGGCCGCGGAAAGGAUCAGUUAAAAAUCUCCCCACCGUCACCACGUGGGGCCUUCAGUAUUCGCCCAUAAAGAGCGCAAAAAUGCGCAUCAAAAUUUAUAUAUUAAACAGCUUUGUUUUUCAACAUGUUUUUCACCAAUGUAUCUACAACCGACAUCAGUUAUGGGAAUAAUUUCUUUAAGAUUUUGAUA